UCAAAGAUUAAGCCAUGCAUGUGUCAGUGCAAGCCUAAUUAAGGUGAAACCGCGAAUGGCUCAUUAAAUCAGUUAUGGUUCCUUGGACGCUUCACGGUUACUUGGAUAACUGUGGUAAUUCUAGAGCUAAUACAUGCGACAAGGCCCCGACCGGCGACGGAAGGGGCGCACUUAUUAGAUCAAAACCAAUCGGGGGAGCGAUCCCUCGGCUGUCUUUGGUGACUCUGAAUAAGACAACGCAGAUCGCACGGCCUCCGCGCCGGCGACACGUCCUUCAAAUGUCUGCCUUAUCAACUGUCGAUGGUAGGUUCUUCGCCUACCAUGGUCGUAACGGGUAACGGGGAAUCAGGGUUCGAUUCCGGAGAGGGAGCCUGAGAAACGGCUACCACAUCCAAGGAAGGCAGCAGGCGCGCAAAUUACCCACUCCCGGCACGGGGAGGUAGUGACGAAAAAUAACGAUACGGGACUCAUCCGAGGCCCCGUAAUCGGAAUGAGAACACUUUAAAUCCUUUAACGAGUAUCCAUUGGAGGGCAAGUCUGGUGCCAGCAGCUGCGGUAAUUCCAGCUCCAAUAGCGUAUAUUAAAGUUGUUGCGGUUAAAAAGCUCGUAGUCGGACCUGUGUCCCGCUCUGCCGGUUCACCGCCCGUCGGUGUCUAACUGGCAUGCACGCGCGGACGUCCUGGCGGUGGCCGCGCUCUCGAUCCUCGGGCUCUCCGCGUCCAACGGCCGGUGUAUUCCUCGCUUCUCUUCUCGCCGAAGCCGCGCGUCCGGUCCGCUCGGGGGUAACACCCCGUCGGUCGGCGCGUGGCCGAGGCUCGGGACGGGGUUUCCCGGUCGGCGGCAGAUGUCUUCCCGGGGAGAAGGGGGCCGGCCUGUCUCUUUCAGAGGCUACCUCUCGAGGUGCUCUUGACCGAGUGUCUUGCGAGGCCGUCACUUUUACUUUGAACAAAUUAGAGUGCUCAAAGCAGGCGGCAAGUCCGCCUGGAUACCAGUGCAUGGAAUAAUGGAAUAGGACCUCGGUUCUAUUUUGUUGGUUUUCGGAAUCUCCGAGGUAAUGAUCAAUAGGGACAGACGGGGGCAUUCGUAUUGCGACGUUAGAGGUGAAAUUCUUGGAUCGUCGCAAGACGGACAGAAGCGAAAGCAUUUGCCAAGCAUGUUUUCUCUGAUCAAGAACGAAAGUCAGAGGUUCGAAGGCGAUCAGAUACCGCCCUAGUUCUGACCAUAAACGAUGCCAGCCAGCAAUCCGCCGAAGUUCCUCCGAUGACUCGGCGGGCGGCUUCCGGGAAACCAAAGCUUACGGGUUCCGGGGGAAGUAUGGUUGCAAAGCUGAAACUUAAAGGAAUUGACGGAAGGGCACCACCAGGAGUGGAGCCUGCGGCUUAAUUUGACUCAACACGGGAAAACUCACCAAGCCCUGACACCGGUAGGAUUGACAGAUUGAGAGCUCUUUCUUGAUUCGGUGGUUGGUGGUGCAUGGCCGUUCUUAGUUCGUGGGGUGACUUGUCUGGUUAAUUCCGAUAACGAACGAGACUCCGUCCUGCUAAAUAGUCGGACACCGGCAUCCUUCGUGCUGCCGGCGAAUGUGAAUCUUCUUAGAGGGACAAGCGGCUUCUAGCCGCGCGAGAAGGAGCAAUAACAGGUCUGUGAUGCCCUUAGAUGUCUUGGGCAGCACGCGCGCUACACUGAAGGAAUCAGCGUGUCCUCCCUGGCCGAAAGGCCCGGGUAACCCGUUGAACCUCCUUCGUGAUUGGGAUUGGGGCUUGCAAUUGUUCCCCAUGAACGAGGAAUUCCCAGUAAGCGCGAGUCAUAAGCUCGCGUUGAUUAAGUCCCUGCCCUUUGUACACACCGCCCGUCGCUACUACCGAUUGAAUGGUUUAGUGAGGACUUCGGACCGGCGGAACGGAGGCGUUUGGCCCCCGUGCCCGUCCCGACUCCGUCCGGGAAGAUGUCCGAACUUGACUAUUUAGAGGAAGUAAAAGUCGUAACAAGGUUGCCGUAGGUGAACCUGCGGCAGGACCAUUA
rnacentral:rRNA from 1 species